AAAAUGGUACAAGUGUCUAAGCCAUAAAUACAAAAGCAAAUGUUGUCAAAUCAAUUUCAUGACAUUAAUAAAUUCUCUUUUUUUUAAAAAAUGCUCCUGUGCUACAGAGACAAUAGAAGGCAUUAUCCACACAAUUCAAGACCCACACAAGUCAAACACAAUUCAGGAUCCACACAAGUGA